UCCAGAGGGUGCGAGCGUUAAUCGGAAUUACUGGGCGUAAAGCGUGCGUAGACGGUCAAGUAAGUCGGGUGUGAAAGCCCCGGGCUCAACCUGGGAAUUGCAUUCGAGACUGCGUGGCUAGGGUGCGGAAGAGGGAAGCGGAAUUUCCGGUGUAGCGGUGAAAUGCGUAGAUAUCGGAAGGAACACCAGUGGCGAAAGCGGCUUCCUGGUCCAGCACCGACGUUCAGGCACGAAAGCGUGGGGAGCAAACAGG
rnacentral:rRNA from 1 species